rnacentral:rRNA from 1 species
UUGAUCUCAAAUCAGGUAGGACUACCCGCUGAACUUAAGCAUAUCAAUAAGCGGAGGAAAAGAAACUAACAAGGAUUCCCCUAGUAACUGCGAGUGAAGCGGGAAAAGCUCAAAUUUAAAAUCUGGCGUGCCUCUGGUCGUCCGAGUUGUAGUCUGGAGAAGCGUUUUCCGUGUUGGACCGUGUAUAAGUCUCUUGGAACAGGGCGUCAUAGAGGGUGAGAAUCCCGUCUUUGACACGGACUACCAAUGCUUUGUGAUGCGCUCUCAAAGAGUCGAGUUGUUUGGGAAUGCAGCUCAAAAUGGGUGGUAAAUUCCAUCUAAAGCUAAAUAUAGGCGAGAGACCGAUAGCGAACA